GAUGAACGCUGGCGGCGUGCCUAACACAUGCAAGUCGAGCGAUGAAACCCUUCGGGGUGGAUUAGCGGCGGACGGGUGAGUAACACGUGGGUAACCUGCCUUAUAGAGGGGGAUAGCCUUCCGAAAGGAAGAUUAAUACCGCAUAACAUAUUUUUAUCACAUGGUAGAAAUAUCAAAGGAGUAAUCCGCUAUAAGAUGGACCCGCGGCGACAUUAGCUAGUUGGUGAGGUAACGGCUCACCAAGGCGACGAUGCGUAGCCGACCUGAGAGGAUGAUCGGCCACAUUGGAACUGAGACACGGUCCAGACUCCUACGGGAGGCAGCAGUGGGGAAUAUUGCGCAAUGGGGGAAACCCUGACGCAGCAACGCCGCGUGAAUGAAGAAGGCCUUAGGGUUGUAAAGUUCUGUUUACGGGGACGAUAAUGACGGUACCCGUGGAGGAAGCCACGGCUAACUACGUGCCGGCAGCCGCGGUAAUACGUAUGUGGCAAGCGUUGUCCGGAUUUACUGGGCGUAAAGGAUGCGUACGCGGAUGUUUAAGUGAGAUGUGAAAUACCCGAGCUCAACUUGGGUGCUGCAUUUCAAACUGGAUAUCUAGAGUGCACGAGAGGAAAGCGGAAUUCCUAGUGUAGCGGUGAAAUGCGUAUAGAUUAGGAAGAACACCAGUGGCGAAGGCGGCUUUCUGGACUGUAACUGACUCUGAGGCAUGAAAGCGUGGGGAGCAAACAGGAUUAGAUACCCUGGUAGUCCACGCCGUAGACGAUGAAUACUAGGUGUAGGAGGUAUCGACUCCUUCUGUGCCGCACUUAACACAAU
rnacentral:rRNA from 1 species